UGAAAAUGUUAUCCAAUGAGCCUGAGGCUUGCUGGAUAACAUUUUCAGA
rnacentral:pre_miRNA from 1 species